GACGAACGCUGGCGGCGUGCCUAAUACAUGCAAGUCGAACGCACAGUUUAUACCGUAGCUUGCUACACCUUGGACGGUGAGUUGCAACCGGGGAGUAACCGGGUCGUUACCUUGCCUGGAAGCGGGGAAAAACUAUUGAAAACGAUAGCUAAUCCCGCAUAAUAUUGAUUAUUGCAUAAAAAUUGAUUGAAGGUUGCUAUUCCAUCCCUACAAGAUGGACUUGCGUGGUAUUAGCUAGUAGGUGAGGUAACGGCUCACCUAGGCGACGAUACAUAGCCGACCUGAGAGGGUGAUCGGCCACACUGGGACUGAGACACGGCCCAGACUCCUACGGGAGGCAGCAGUAGGGAAUCUUCGGCAAUGGACGAAAGUCUGACCGAGCAACGCCGCGUGAGUGAAGAAGGUGUUCGGAUCGUAAAGCUCUGUUGUAAGAGAAGAACGGGUGUGAGAGUGGAAAGUUCACACUGUGACGGUAUCUUACCAGAAAGGGACGGCUAACUACGU
rnacentral:rRNA from 1 species